UACGGAGGGGGCUAGCGUUGUUCGGAAUUACUGGGCGUAAAGCGUACGUAGGCGGCUUUGUAGGUUAGAGGUGAAAGCCCAGAGCUCAACUCUGGAAUUGCCUUUAAGACUGCAUCGCUUGAAUCGUGGAGAGGUUAGUGGAAUUCCGAGUGUAGAGGUGAAAUUCGUAGAUAUUCGGAAGAACACCAGUGGCGAAGGCGACUAACUGGACAAGUAUUGACGCUGAGGUACGAAAGCGUGGGGAGCAAACAGG
rnacentral:rRNA from 1 species